rnacentral:misc_RNA from 1 species
UGAUAGACCCCGCGUUAGGGAUUGGAGUGAAAAGCCCACAGCUGAGGUACGAAGCGAGGACUUGUAACGUAAAGCCCGACCCGAU